UACGUAGGGGGCAAGCGUUGUCCGGAAUCAUUGGGCGUAAAGCGCGUGUAGGCGGCUCGGUAAGUCCGCUCUGAAAGUCCAGGGCUCAACCCUGGGAUGCGGGUGGAUACUGCCGGGCUCGAGUCCGGAAGAGGCGAGUGGAAUUCCCGGUGUAGCGGUGAAAUGCGCAGAUAUCGGGAGGAACACCGAUGGCGAAGGCAGGUCUCUGGGCCACUACUGACGCUGAGAAGCGAAAGCAUGGGGAGCGAACAGG
rnacentral:rRNA from 1 species